rnacentral:siRNA from 1 species
UAGUUGGAGGUGCUGGGUCACGG